UUAAAAAACCUCAUUGAGUGCAGCGUUGAUGAUAUCUUCGUUCGUUCUUUUCCGAUGGUUUCAUCAUCUACAAAUGUCGUUUCACCAACGCUGCAUUCAAUAAUGCUUUUA
rfam:Erythranthe guttata cultivar DTN x IM62 scaffold_24_contig_5, whole genome shotgun sequence.